GUGGGGAAUCUUGCGCAAUGGGCGAAAGCCUGACGCAGCAACGCCGCGUGGGGGAUGAAGGCUCUCGGGUUGUAAACCCCUUUCAGGAGGGACGAAAAUGACGGUACCUCCAGAAGAAGCCCCGGCCAACUACGUGCCAGCAGCCGCGGUAACACGUAGGGGGCGAGCGUUGUCCGGAUUUAUUGGGCGUAAAGAGCUCGUAGGCGGUUUGGCAAGUCGGGUGUGAAAUUUCGAGGCUCAACCUCGAAACGCCACUCGAUACUGCCAUGACUGGAGUCCGGUAGAGGAGUGCGGAAUUCCUGGUGUAGCGGUGAAAUGCGCAGAUAUCAGGAGGAACACCAACGGCGAAGGCAGCACUCUGGGCCGGUACUGACGCUGAGGAGCGAAAGCGUGGGGAGCAAACAGGAUUAGAUACCCCUGUAGUCC
rnacentral:rRNA from 1 species